rnacentral:rRNA from 1 species
UACAGAGGUCCCAAGCGUUGUUCGGAUUCACUAGGCGUAAAGGGUGCGCAGGUGGUCGGGUAAGUCUGAUGUGAAAUCCCGCAGCUCAACUGCGGAAUGGCAUUGGAUACUAUUUGGCUAGAGGGUUGGAGGGGGGGACUGGAAUUCUCGGUGUAGCAGUGAAAUGCGUAGAUAUCGAGAGGAACACCAGUGGCGAAGGCGAGUCCCUGGACAACUCCUGACGCUGAGGCACGAAGGCCAGGGGAGCAAACGGG